CCUACGGGUGGCUGCAGUGGGGAAUAUUGCACAAUGGGCGCAAGCCUGAUGCAGCCAUGCCGCGUGUAUGAAGAAGGCCUUCGGGUUGUAAAGUACUUUCAGCGGGGAGGAAGGGAGUAAAGUUAAUACCUUUGCUCAUUGACGUUACCCGCAGAAGAAGCACCGGCUAACUCCGUGCCAGCAGCCGCGGUAAUACGGAGGGUGCAAGCGUUAAUCGGAAUUACUGGGCGUAAAGCGCACGCAGGCGGUUUGUUAAGUCAGAUGUGAAAUCCCCG
rnacentral:rRNA from 1 species